ACGCGAAAGUCCCGAAAGGGAUGAGUAGAGUGGCAAACGGGUGAGUAACACGUGGGUGACCUGCCUUUGAGCGGGGGAUAACGUCCCGAAAGGGACGCUAAUACCGCAUGACAUCCUGCCUUUGAACAGGCGGUGAUCAAAGCUGGGGAUCGCAAGACCUAGCACUUGAAGAGGGGCCCGCGCCUGAUUAGCUAGUUGGUGGGGUAACGGCUCACCAAGGCGACGAUCAGUAUCCGGCCUGAGAGGGCGGACGGACACACUGGGACUGAGACACGGCCCAGACUCCUACGGGAGGCAGCAGUGGGGAAUUGUUCGCAAUGGGCGCAAGCCUGACGACGCAACGCCGCGUGGAGGAUGAAGACCUUCGGGUCGUAAACUCCUUUCGAUCGAGACGAAUGGCCUCCGGGUGAACAAUCCGGGGGAGUGACGGUACCGAGAGAAGAAGCCCCGGCUAACUCCGUGCCAGCAGCCGCGGUAAUACGGGGGGGGCAAGCGUUGUUCGGAAUUACUGGGCGUAAAGGGCUCGUAGGCGGCCAACUAAGUCAGACGUGAAAUCCCUCGGCUUAACCGGGGAACUGCAUCUGAUACUGGAUGGCUUGAGAUCGGGAGAGGGAUGCGGAAUUCCAGGUGUAGCGGUGAAAUGCGUAGAUAUCUGGAGGAACACCGGUGGCGAAGGCGGCAUCCUGGACCGACACUGACGCUGAGGAGCGAAAGC
rnacentral:rRNA from 1 species